UCUUUCAUCCAAUAUACUGCCACGGUGAAGACCCAAACGACCCCUUUUAUCAUUUCUUAAAUUUCCCAAUCCCAAAAUAAAACCCCCUUUUUCCCGAUUCAGAUCAAAUUGAAUCAAUUGAUUUAAGGUUCUUCUGAGCUGUGAAGUGCUUGUUCUGAUUCUAAAGGAGUGAAAAAGGAUGCAGGCUUCAAGGGCAAGGCUUUUCAAAGAGUACAAAGAAGUACAGAGAGAGAAAUCUGCUGAUCCAGAUAUUCAAUUAGUUUGUGAUGAUUCUAAUAUCUUUAAAUGGACGGCUCUUAUUAAAGUAUGCUCCUUAAUUGAUUA